rnacentral:misc_RNA from 1 species
GAUGAAGAACGUAGCGAAAUGCGAUAAGUAAUGUGAAUUGCAGAAUUCAGUGAAUCAUCGAAUCUUUGAACGCACAUUGCGCCCGCCAGUAUUCUGGCGGGCAUGCCAGUUCGAGCGUCAUUUCAACCAUCAAGCCCUGCUUGCGUUGGGGUCCUGCGGCUGCCCGCAGGCCCUGAAAACCAGUGGCGGGCUCGCUAGUCACACCGAGCGCAGUAAUACAUCUCGCUUUGGGCGUGCGGCGGGUUCUUGCCGUUAAACACCCCCUUUUUACCAAGGUUGACCUCGGAUCAGGUAGGAAUACCCGCUGAACUUAAGCAUAUCAAUAAGCGGAGGA